rnacentral:rRNA from 1 species
AUUGAACGCUGGCGGCAUGCUUUACACAUGCAAGUCGAACGGUAACAGGUCUUUCGGGAUGCUGACGAGUGGCGAACGGGUGAGUAAUGUAUCGGAACGUGCCCAGUAGUGGGGGAUAACUACUCGAAAGAGUGGCUAAUACCGCAUGAGAUCUCUGGAUGAAAGCGGGGGACCGUAAGGCCUCGCGCUACUGGAGCGGCCGAUAUCAGAUUAGGUAGUUGGUAGGGUAAGAGCCUACCAAGCCAACGAUCUGUAGCUGGUCUGAGAGGACGACCAGCCACACUGGGACUGAGACACGGCCCAGACUCCUACGGGAGGCAGCAGUGGGGAAUUUUGGACAAUGGGCGCAAGCCUGAUCCAGCAAUGCCGCGUGCAGGACGAAGGCCUUCGGGUUGUAAACUGCUUUGUACGGAACGAAAAGCUUCUGGUUAAUACCUGGGAGUCAUGACGGUACCGUAAGAAUAAGCACCGGCUAACUACGUGCCAGCAGCCCGGUAAA